UGGGGAAUAUUGGACAAUGGGCGCAAGCCUGAUCCAGCGACGCCGCGUGUGUGAAGAAGGCCUGCGGGUUGUAAAGCACUUUCGAUGGGAACGAAAUGUGCCGGGUUAAUACCCCGGUAAGCUGACGUUACUCAAUGAAGAAGCACCGGCUAACUCUGUGCCAGCAGCCGCGGUAAUACAGAGGGUGCGAGCGUUAAUCGGAAUUACUGGGCGUAAAGCGCACGUAGGUGGCGACGUAAGUCGGGUGUGAAAGCCCCGGGCUCAACCUGGGAAUUGCAUUCGAGACUGCAUUGCUGGAGUACGGAAGAGGAGGGCGGAAUUCCCGGUGUAGCGGUGAAAUGCGUAGAUAUCCGGAGGAACACCAGUGGCGAAGGCGGCCUGCUGGGCCCAAACUGACGCUGAGGCACGAAAGCGUGGGUAGCAAACAGGAUUAGAUACCCUAGUAGUCCCUGAGCGGGCUGGCAAGGCGCAU
rnacentral:rRNA from 1 species